GACUCCUAACGUUGUGAAAAAGUGUUAUUUGGCACUCAUCUUUCCAAAAUUUCAUUUCCCUCUCUCUCAUAAAAUUAGUUUCAAAUCUUUCUCCUAAAAUUAGUUGCCAAAAGUUUAGAUCUUCCCAAAUAUUUCUCCCAUCUUUAAAGAAUUUAUCUCAAAGUUUCAAUCCUCCAUGUUGCCUUCUUCCCUUUAUUCUUCUCUCGAAUCUCUCAUCCUCUCUCUCGAUAUAGUUGUUGUCCGUCGACCACCGACCACCGCCCAGCCAAACAAUCACUGUUGCAGCGCUACCUGUCGCCAUCGACAUCGUGUCGUGCCUAGGAUCGUCGCCGGUCGUAUACUACACUCUUAAGCUUCGUUAGAUGCCACUACAGUGGCCAAAGGAAUUCAAAAAUGGCAGAAGAGUUUAGGCGGUAGGAAGGAAAAUAUUGGAGGAGCUUUUGCUUGAGUGGUUUAGGGUUUGGAUGGGGUCGAAAAAGAAGAGCUUGAGAUUAGUUUAUCCUCUGUUUCCUCUCACAAUUCUUCUUCUCUUUUGUUCAUUUUAGCAACUCCAACCCUCUAGUCAUCGACCGUUUAAGCCACUCCAACUUGAUUAUUGCUCUGUCAUUCCUAACUCGGGAGUUUUUACCUCUGGGAAGGAGUAUGGUAAUCUUGUUAUAAACCAUUCACAAUAUUUAUGGAGAUAUUUAGAAGUCAUUCAAACAGAAAGGAGACAUCGAUCAUGAGGGAUGAGUCUUGCUCGAGUGAAAGUAAAACAUGCCUUGUUCUUUUUUUAGCAGAAUGGAAGUUUGUAUACAUAAAUGGAGGUAUCAUAUUUAGUUGAGUACAGUAUUCAUCACAUCAAAAUUUUGGUUUCCAGAAAGAAGUGAGAAGAACUAUGAGAUAGUAUUAUGUAAUGUCCAACUCUUGUACUAGUGUCACAUUAAUUGAAAAUUU